rnacentral:lncRNA from 1 species
AUGGCAUGGGGAGUGCGAGGCCGCCACGCCAAGGGGUCAACUGGUUGGGGGGGCGGGGCUAUUUACGGGGGGGGGGUGGGUGGGGUGGGGGGGGCUCACAUUCAGCGAAGCGGAGGGUCGUUGGUCCCGGGCGCCUCGGCCUCGGGCCACUCUCUGUGGGCCCCAACGUCGUCUGGUGUCUCCUCGCUGCUGCUUGCUGCUGAGGCCUGCUCCUCCUGCUCCAACUGCGCCUUCUCCACCUCCUCAGGGAUCGUCGGACAUCCUUCAAGCAUCUCGUCCAGCUCCUCUGCUAGCUUCUGUUCCGACUCCUCGCUCGACUCGUUGGAUUCGGAGACCUCGCUAGCCUCACCGGCCUCGUUAGCCUUGUUAGCCUCGCUAGAGUCGCUAGCAUCACCAGCGUCGCUGGCGUCGCUAGAUUCGCUAGACUUGCUAGAUUCGCUAGAGUCGCUAGAGUCGCUAGCAUCGCUGGCAUCGAUAGCCUUGCUAGCAUUGCUGGCCUCGCCAGCCAUGGUAACCUCGCUGGAGUCGCUAACCUCGCUAUUGUCGCUAGAGUCGCUGUCCUCGCUAGACUCGCUGUCCUCGCUAGACUCGGUAGCCUUGGUAACCUCGCCGGAGUCGCUAACCUCGCUAUUCUCGCUAGAGUCGCUAUCCUCGCUAGCCUUGGUAACCAUGGCAACCUCGUCAGACUCGCUAGCCGCGGGAGCCUCGAUAGAGUCGUUAACCUCUUUAUUCUCGCUAGAGUCGCUAUCCUCGCUAGCCUUGGUAACCAUGGGAACCUCGUCAGACUCGCUAGCCGCGGUAGCCUCGAUAGAGUCGUUAACCUCUUUAUUCUCGCUAGAGUCGCUAUCCUCGCUAGCCUCGGUAACCAUGGCAACCUCGUCAGACUCGCUAGCCGCGGUAGCCUCGAUAGAGUCGUUAACCUCUUUGUUCUCGCUAGAGUCGCUAUCCUCGCUAGCCUCGGUAACCAUGGCAACCUCGUCAGACUCGCUAGCUGCGGUAGCCUCGAUAGAGUCGUUAACCUCUUUGUUCUCGCUAGAGUCGCUAUCCUCGGUAGCCUUGGUAACCAUGCUGGAGUCGUUAACCUCUCUAUUGUCGCUAGAGUCGCUAUCCUCACUAGCUUCGGUAGCCUUGGUAACCAUGCUGGAGUCGUUCACCUCUUUAUUCUCGCUAGAGUCGCUAUCCUCGGUAGCCUUGGUAUAUUCCCUAGGGUCGUUAACCUCUCUAUUCUCGCUCGAGUCGUUAACCCAGCUAGCCGUGGUAACCAUGGUAACCUUGUCAGACUCGCUAGGCUUGCCGGACUGUCCAGCCUCGUCAGAGUCGUCAUUAUUAUCAUCAGCAUCAUCUGCCACACCAGCGGCGGUGCUAUCGUUCUUCUGGUCUGACUCUGGCUCCUCCUCUUCCUCUGAACUGUUCUCUAGGAGAUCCUCCUCCUUCUCUUCCGACGUCUUGUCUUCCAGGUCCACAUCCUUCUCCUCCUGGCUGCUGUCUCCUCCUGGCUGUGGGUCCUCCUGGUCGUUCACCUGCUCCUGGGAUUCUGCAGCGUCGGGCGAGUCUGUGAUCAGGUCUGGAAGGGGAGCAGAAACAGCUUUUCUCUGGUACGCCUUCAACACAUGUCCUUGGUGAGUUUCUGAGCCCCAGAUCCAGAUGGUUAAGACAGGUUAGUUGAGAGUUUUAUGUCUAGAGCGGUCAUUAGAGCUGCAUUAAGGUAUUACCUAAUGCAGCUUUAAGGUCUUACCUACUGCAGCUUUAAGGUCUUACCUACUGCAGCUUUAAGGUCUUACCUACUGCAGCUUUAAGGUCUAACCUACUGCAGCUUUGAGGUCUUACCUACUGCAGCUUUAAGGUCUUACCUACUGCAGAUUUAAGGUCUUGCCUACUGCAGCUUUAAGGUCAGGCAUACUGCAGCUUUAAG